UCAAUUAUGUAAGUAUUGUCAGAAUUACCUUUUCUUAGAUUUCAUGUCAUGUUUUAAAUGAAAUUUACAUGAUUUUUUUAUAGAUGCUUGAGAGAUUAAGCUGCACAGAUUUUAAAAAUUGUAAAUUUUUAAGAUAGAUGCCAGAUUUGUUAGGAGCUUCUAAUUUAAGAGAAUUGUGGUUCGAUGAUUGCACAAAUUUAAUCCAAAUGCAUGGUUCUGUUGGAUUUUUGAAUAAUUUGAGAGUUGAGUGCCAUGAAAUGCAAGAGCUUGAGGAUUUUUCCAUCGAGCUUCAAGUUGACAUCUCUUGAAUGUCUCAACCGUUUUGGCCAUUCCAGCCUUCAAAUUUUUUCACAAAUAUUAGACAAAAUGGAAAAGAUGAAAGUACUUGAAUUGGGCAGAAUAGCCGUAAAAGAAUUGUCACCAUCAAUUUGCAAUUUUGUUGGGCUUGAAAUCUUGAACUUGGAGGAGUGUCAUCAUCCAACGAAGCUAUCGGUUGAUAUUUGUACUCUGCCAAACCUUUGCAAAUUAAGAGCAAAUUUCUGUGUUGGGAUGAACAAUUUUGAGAUGUGCUGAGGAGGAGAACAAAGAAUCUCAAGUCGCAACGGAUUGUCAUUGACACAUGUUUGGUUCUUAAAUUGCAAUUUUACAAAUGUCUCUGUUGCUUUUGGCCUUUCUUACUUCCCUAAUACAAUACAUUUAGAUCUAAGUUUCAGAAAUUUCACAACUCUUUCAACAUGCAUAAGAGAUUGUCACCAUAUGAAGAGUCUUUUGUUGGAUAAUUGCAAGCUGCUUAUGCUUAUUAAUGGAAUGCCACCAAAUCUAGAAAAAUUUAGGGCCACAUGUUGCACAUCAUUAAGUCAAUUGUCCAGUAGCCUUGUAUUGAAUCAGGUAUCUCUUUCUUUCUUUAAUUUUCUCUUCUUUCUUUUUGUACUUACAUUUAUGCUCCAUUUUUUGAUAAUUUGUAUUCGACAAGUUUUCUCUCAACAGCCUGGAAAGAAAAACUUUAUUUUGCCUGGAAAAGGAAUCCCAGAAUGGUUCCUCAAGUAUAGUCAAGGAUGUUCUCCUCCUUUAGGGUUCAUGAAGAGUUCCCUCUGAUUUGUCUGCACAUUCUUAUUAGAGAUUACGAGAAUUCUGUCAGUAACAAUUCAUUCUUGCUAUUUGUGGAUGGCAUUAGGAUAAGGGUUUCUUUUGCAUGCUUUUCACUAUCAGAGAUGAAAACAAAUCAUUUGUAUGUUUGUGAUAUACAGAGCAUGAUUCCCAACAUUGAACUCCCUCUGCUAAAUAACUGGAAGCAAGUGCAAGUUUUCAUCUAGGACAUUAUUCCUCAAGGCAUUGACAGUAAUGAGAAUGUUUAUUUUGUAGUUCAUAUAUACAAGAAUGAAAACAAAAAGAGAAAAUAUCAUCUUUACGGACCCUGUCCACAAUGGAAAAGUCUGAUGCCAAACCACAACCUUGGGGAGAAAUUAAGGGUGUCACAUUUUUGGAUUCAAAUCAUUGCCCUACCAGAUCUGAAUGGGGUGUUUCCUUCUCUAGCUUCCACCUCCUCCUCAUCUUCUUCCUCCUUUACUUGUUGUUUUGGCUUGACAAUUCUUUUAUUCAUUUCUUCUUCUUAUUCUUGUUGUUGUUCUUCAUCUUCAUAAAAAAAUUUUUAAAGAGAAAGUGAAACAGUGCAAGAAAGGAUUUGUAGAAUAGAUGAAUAUUAUAUGUGGCGUAACCCACCAGGAAUAUUACAACAAUAUAUAUAGGGCAACACGCAACCCUAGAAUACAGAAAGGGAGCCACCUAUGUACAUGAAAGAAUAAUAAAAUACAAUAAGACAAAAAGAAGCUUGAUCUGGACAGAUAAAGCAUUAUAAAAUAAUUGUCUGGGACUUUUUACUGUUACUAGACUUAUAUUUAGUGGGCUUAAUCUUCUUUUGGAAUUUAGUCUUAACAUUCCCAUGCAAACUUGAGUGUGGUGACUUCACGAGACCAAGUUUGGUUCUGAAAGUCCAAAACUUUGAAUGAGUCAAAGCUUUGGUAAAAAAGUCUGCUAGUUGAUCAGAUGAUAAGACAUAGCAAAUUAACAACUGUUUCUCAAGUACUUCGUCAUGGAUGUAAUGCAUGUCCAAUUUGAUAUGUUUUGAACGAGCGUGGAAGACCGAAUUUGAGGCUAAAGCUGAUGCACUUUGAUUAUCACACCAAGCAAUAGAUGGUUGCUUCAGACGGAGACCAAUCUUGCCGACAAAUGAACGAACCCAUGCAAGCUCAGAUGCAAGAUCAGAAAGUGCUCUAUAUUCUAACUUAGCGCUGGAUCUUGCAACAACCUUCUGUUUCUUCACUGACCAAGAGACCAGUGAGUCGUCGAGAAACACACAGUAGCCACCGAUAGAACAUCGAUCGUCUGGACAUACAGCCCAAUCAGCAUCAAAAAAACCUUAUAAGGAAUAUUAGACUGGGGUGUAACAGGAACAAACGAAAUUGAUUGAGAUUGUGACUGAGAUGCACUAGAGACAGGGACAUUAGAUUCUUCAGCUGGACAAGUGUUGGAAGUAGAAAUAUUGAGAGAUUUAAAAAACUCUCGAGGAUGUACUUCUUCAAUAGAACUUUGGGCGUGCACUCUUGGGUUAAAACUGGCUUAGGACACUAGCCACAUGAAUCUGGUGUUUGAAUCAGAUUGUAUGGAGAUUGGAGACCAUAGAACUCUCAGUGGAGUUGACUACUCAAACCACUCCAACUUAGAGGUUAUGCUGCAUGCAAGAGAUUGAACUGUGAUCCAGGAUUUCACCUUUCCACUUGGAUUCCUCAUUUUUUUCGUUUAUGUUGGAUAAGGACUGGAUAAUGAUGAGUUUCCUUUCAGUACUCUGUUUCUCACAUUUGCAAGUACUGUUUCUCUUGUUUCUAUAUUUUGUAUUUUGUCUUCUAUAUAUUGUGUAAUCAUUGAUAAUGUGAUACCAAUUCUAAGAGUUCAGUUCCUUGUCAGCUCUGAUCAUUAGAAUUUCCCUUCCAAGACUUUGUUAUAUUCUUAGCUGUUUUACUAUUGAUGAUAAAAUCACGCACUGAUGCUUUAAGAUGAAUGGAUAAUAAACAGAGGUCCCAAAAGAGUAAAUGACAGUGAUGUUUUUAAAAUUUUGCUGAUAAAUAUUGAUUCGAACACUUGUUAAUAUGUGAGUUUUAUUUGCAAAUAAUUAGCAGUGACAUAUAAACUUCAAUCUCUGAUUUGCAACUGACAUAGAUUCAAACACUAGUUAAUAUGUUCAAGCCUCUUGCUUGGCCAGUUACAGUCUUGAUUUUCAGUGCAACUCCUGGAGAAGAUCAGGCUGGUGGAGAAGCUGAUUAAUAAUUAUUGACAAAUUAAUAUACAGAUUAUCUAAGGAAUGUAGAUACGAACAAACAUACAGCAGAUUACAUGCAUAUAAAUAUCGUGAUGGAACAAAAUUCAAAAGGUUCAGGUACUGAAAUAUGUUAUUCUUUAUAUUCGUUUAUAUGUUAUCCGACUUGAAUUGUUCUUAAAGAUUCAUGUCCGAAUAGCCUUACCAGAAUUAGCUCACAAGUAAAUCAGGUUGCCCUUGCAAGAUGUUGCCAUAAUCUUAGCUGUUUUAAUAUUGAUGAUAAAAUCAUACACAAAUGCGUUCUAAUGCUUGGAUAUAAACAAAAGCAGAGUGCAUGACAAGGAUAAUGAUACUGUGAGACUACCAAACUUGAACAAUUCAGGUAUUGAAAUAUUUCACGGUAGUGCAUAGAUAUUGGACUUGGCAAUUACUCCCUUGUCCAAGUUUUAUGUAAUUAGCUGUAUUAAGUUUCUACCUACUCUCUUCACCAAAAAAUAGUUCCUUCGUUCUAAAUUAUAAGAUAAUUUUUGAUGAAAUUAUUCAUAUUAAUUAAGGUUAUUAAAUACAUUUCACAACCAUAUUUUUUCAAAAAAAAGUACAAACAUUCAAAAAUAUUCUUCAUUUAAUAUUCCAUUUGUUAAAUCAUAUUAAGGAGAGAGAAUAUAAGAGAAGGAUAAUAUUGAAAAAACAUCAUUAAUAAAAUUUUAUUUUUGUUAAAGUGUCUUAUAUUUUGAGAUACUAAAUUCUUCUAAAAGUGUUUUAUAAUUUAAAGAGAGGCAAUAAAUCCAACACAUGUUAGCGUGGCCAUGCCAUACAAGAGAUGACACAGGUACAGAUACUAUGUGAUCUGACAUUUAGCAUCAUAUAUUGGGUAUGGCAUGCAAAGCAUUACUGUAUAAUGUUGCCAACUAGACUUGAGAAAUCCCAAGAAAAUCAACUUUACGAUCUCUGUGUGUUGUAGUAAUGGAAAUAUCUUUACAGUUCCCUGGAUGUUGACCACUUUGUUCUUUCACCAGUUACUAACAGAGGGCCAUAUGUUGAAACCUAUGAAGAAAUAAUGGAUGUUUUAUUUCAGAUGUUGAAAUGAUUUAACUGAUAUCAGGAUAAAGUUCGAGAAAAUUCACUCCAUAAAAUAAAAUGGAGACCACGACAAUGGAGAAGAAAGUGAAGAUGGAUUGAGGCCAACCUUCCCAAAGACUUGGACUUGACAAGGAAUCCAUCUAUUGAAUGAAAGAACCAAUCCUUACCUCUUGUUUAUUAUUCCCUGUUAUUUCCUCUGAUUUUGUUGGUUUCUGCUGGCGUAGCUGUUCUUGUUAUCCUCAAUUUUGAUGGAUUCAACUGAAAGCAUUUUAUGCUGCAAAUUAAUUAAUGUGAACUUUGUCUUCCCAAGAGAAGAUAUGAGCAUUAGAAAUUAGAUUUUUCUGUUGUGGUCAAAUAUUGGGUCCAUUUCUGAAAGCAUUUGCUACUACAAAUUAAUGGGAAAUUUAUCUUCCCACAACAAAAAUAAAAUAAUAAAGGGACAAUAUAACUUUG